rnacentral:misc_RNA from 1 species
AAAAAAAAUGUGUAUAUAUAUAUAAGAUACUUAAGCAAACCCAAUUCUUCAUUUGGGCAACAACACAAACAACAGACAGAAAUGAAAGUGAAAAAGGAACCACAAUCCAAACAAAGAAUAAGAAUUUGAAGCCAAGUAGCUAGGUUAAAAGGGACCCAUGCAUUUUGCUCAAAUAUAAUUUUCAAUACCAAGGAAAGCAUUUUGAUUUUAUUAGUUUCUCUACGUGAAAGCUAAUUCUUACUCCGCUGUCCAAAAUAUACACAAAUAAGAACACCGAGGAGCUUAUAUAUAAAUUGCAUGCAAAAUUUUAUAGGAAAAAAAUCAUUGCAAUUAAUUACCAACCUAUUUGUUCACCAUUUAACAUAUUAGCAACCCUUUUUGCAAUGCUCUUAUUGGUAAAUUCAACCCACCCUUCAGAGAAUUCUUGACCUCGAAAUCCACCAGCUCUUUUGCGAUUUACUCGAGCAGUGGGAUCU